rnacentral:misc_RNA from 1 species
UCCGAGUUGACCCCGGCAGUCUCUCACGAGUCCCCACCAUGACGUGCUGGCAACAUGAGACAAGGGUUGCGCUCGUUGCGGGACUUAACCCAACAUCUCACGACACGAGCUGACGAUCCGCCGUUGUCUAGCCCAGGUAAGGUUCUUCGCGUUGCGUCGAAUUGAACCACAUGCUCCACCGCUUGUGCGGGCCCCCGUCAAUUCCUUUGAGUUUUAAUCUUGCGACCGUACUCCCCAGGCGGGGCACUUAAUGCGUUAGCUGCGGCACCCAGGGGGUCAAUACCCCGGACACCUAGUGCCCAUCGUUUACAGCGUGGACUAC